rnacentral:tRNA from 1 species
GCCGCGAUCACAUAACCUGGUUAUUGUACCGCUCUCGAAAAGCGGGCCUUUUGGCUUCUGGGUUCGAAUCCCAGUCGCGGCG